rnacentral:rRNA from 1 species
CGUCUAUAUACGUAUAGCAUAUCAAUAAGCGGAGGAAAAGAAACUAACUAGGAUUCCCUUAGUAACGGCGAGUGAAGCGGGAAGAGCUCAAAUUUGAAAUCUUCAAGGUUUUACCUUGACGAAUUGUAGUUUAAAGAAGUGUUUUCUGUUGGUAGUUUUGGUAAAAGUUCUUUGGAAUAGGACAUCAUAGAGGGUGAGAAUCCCGUAUUUGACCAUUAUUUCCAACUUUGUGAUACACUUUCAAAGAGUCGGAUUGUUUGGGAAUGCAGUCCAAAAUGGGUGGUAAAUUUCAUCUAAAGCUAAAUACUGGCGAGAGACCGAUAGCGAACAAGUACCGUGAGGGAAAGAUGAAAAGAACUUUGAAAAGAGAGUUAAACAGUACGUGAAAUUGUCAAAAGGGAAGCGUUUGACACCAGUGUUGUUUUCUCGAAAAUCAAUUAAAAAUGGCGGGAUUUUGUGUUGUAUUGACUUUAUCAGCUUUCUGCACUUUUUUCCUAUCUUUUUUAAUGCACUUUUCGUUUAACAAGUCAACAUCAAUUUCUUUUGUUGUAAAAGAGUCAUUGGAAGGUGGCUUUCUUUUCGGAGAAAGUGUUUAUAGCCUUUGACUUCUGCAAUCGGAGAGAUUGAGGUCUGCAGCGUAGAUCCUUCGGGGUUAGAUGCAUUUGUGCUAAGCUUAUAGCCUUUCAUAGACAACUUGUUGACUAUGAUCAGUCACGUAGCUUACUCGCUUAUGUCAUUUUACCUACGCUUAGGAUGUUGACGAUCAGCUGAGCGCG